UACGUAGGGCGCAAGCGUUGUUCGGAAUUACUGGGCGUAAAGGGCGCGUAGGCGGUUUGCUAAGUUGGAUGUGAAAACUCUGGGCUUAACCCAGAGCCUGCAUCCAAAACUGGCAAACUUGAGUACUGGAGGGGAAAGCGGAAUUCCUGGUGUGAGCGGUGAAAUGACGCAGAUAUCAGGAGGAACACCAAUUGCGAAGGCAGCUCGCUGGGACGUUACUGACGCUGAGGCGCGAAAGCGUGGGGAGCAAACAGG
rnacentral:rRNA from 1 species